rnacentral:rRNA from 1 species
GACGAACGCUGGCGGCGUGCUUAACACAUGCAAGUCGAACGGAAAGGCCUCAGCUUGCUGGGGUACUCGAGUGGCGAACGGGUGAGUAACACGUGGGUGAUCUGCCUUGCACUCUGGGAUAAGCUUGGGAAACUGGGUCUAAUACCGGAUAUGCACUGCCUUUAGUGUGGUGGUUGGAAAGUUUUUUCGGUGCAAGAUGAGCUCGCGGCCUAUCAGCUUGUUGGUGGGGUAAUGGCCUACCAAGGCGUCGACGGGUAGCCGGCCUGAGAGGGUGUACGGCCACAUUGGGACUGAGAUACGGCCCAGACUCCUACGGGAGGCAGCAGUGGGGAAUAUUGCACAAUGGGCGGAAGCCUGAUGCAGCGACGCCGCGUGGGGGAUGACGGCCUUCGGGUUGUAAACUCCUUUCGACAGGGACGAAGCUUUUUGUGACGGUACCUGUAUAAGAAGCACCGGCUAACUACGUG